CGACUGAUGCUUACAUUUAAUUUAUAUACUGCAUCUGUCUAGAUGCCAUUAUGUCCUCUUUUCCCAUUCCACCAACAAAGACUCUGUACACUCGAAUUUUGCCAGGUCUCACCAGACUGGUGUUGGGUCCAGGGACAGGUCCACAGGCAACCCUGGGCAUUUAAAUGUAAACCAAGCCAGUCAGUUGAGGGGUGCUGGGUCCAGUCAUUAGUCCAGCCACAGUGACGGGUCCCAGCACAGCAAACGGUACUGACACAGGAAGCAGUCCAGGCACAGCGACA
rnacentral:lncRNA from 1 species